UGCCAGCAGCCGCGGUAAUACGGAGGGGGUUAGCGUUGUUCGGAAUUACUGGGCGUAAAGCGCGCGUAGGCGGACUAUUAAGUCAGGGGUGAAAUCCCGGAGCUCAACUCCGGAACUGCCUCCAAAACUACAAAGCUAGAGGAUGUGAGAGGAUAGUGGAAUUCCGAGUGUAGAGGUGAAAUUCGUAGAUAUUCGGAAGAUCACCAGUGGCGAAGGCGACUGUCUGGCACAUUUCUGACGCUGAGGUGCGAAAGCGUGGGGAGCAAACAGGAUUAGAUA
rnacentral:rRNA from 1 species